rnacentral:rRNA from 1 species
CCUACGGUGGGGCAGCAGUGGGGAAUAUUCGGCAAUGGGCGCAAGCCUGACCCAGCAACGCCGCGUGAAGGAAGAAGGCUUUCGGGUUGUAAACUUCUUUUGUCGGGGAGAGGUAGAAGACGGUACCUGACGAAUAAGCCACGGCUAACUACGUGCCAGCAGCCGCGGUAAUACGUAGGUGGCAAGCGUUGUCCGGAUUUACGGGGUGUAAAGGGCGUGUAGCGGGGUUGACAAGUCAUAUGUGAAAUCUAGCGGCUUAACCUGAGAACUGCAUUUGAAACUGUUGAUCUUGAGUACUGGAGAGGUAAGUGGAAUUCCUAGUGUAGCGGUGAAAUGCGUAGAGAUUAGGAGGAACACCAGUGGCGAAGGCGAUCUGCUGGACAGUAACUGACGGUGAGGCGCGAGAGCGUGGGGAGCAAACAGGAUUAGAUACCCUUGUAGUC